rnacentral:rRNA from 1 species
UACGGAGGGAGCAAGCGUUACUCGGAAUUAUUGGGCGUAAAGGGCGCGUAGGCGAUUUAACAAGUCUUGUGUGAAAGCCCCGGGCUUAACUCGGGAAGUGCACAAGAAACUGUUGAAUUUGAGUUCCGGAGAGGAAGGCAGAAUUCCCGGUGUAGCGGUGAAAUGCGUAGAUAUCGGGAGGAAUACCAGUGGCGAAGGCGGCCUUCUGGA